rnacentral:sRNA from 1 species
GGUAAUUACCCAGUAUCUCAAGGUACUACGGGCUUCCGACCAUCCGCUUGCGGUUGUGUCGUUACCUAAAUUUUUGGACGGCCUUUCCGGGGUAUCCGGGAGGGCAAC